rnacentral:rRNA from 1 species
GUCUGUUUGAAGGUAUAGAAAGUCUGAUCUGCCCACUGAAAAGUAUUUAAGGGCCGCGGUAAUUUGACCGUGCAAAGGUAGCAUAAUCGUUAGUUUUUUAAUUGGAAUCUUGUAUGAAUGAUUGGACAAGGGGAAGACUGUCUCUAUAUUUAUUUUUGAAUUUAACUUUUAAGUGAAAAGGCUUAAAUAGUUUAAAAAGACGAUAAGACCCUAUAAAGCUUAAUAGGUUAGAUUAUUUAACUGAAUUAAAGAUAAGAGUUAAUUGAUUGAGUUUAUUUUGUUGGGGCGACAAAGGUAAAAUUUUUAUUAACUACUAAAAAUUAAAGACAAAUAUAGAUGAGUAGGAAGUGUAAAUGAGCCUGAGAUAAGAUUAAAAGAUUAAGUUACUUUAGGGAUAACAGCGUUAUUUUUUUUGAGAGUUCUUAUCGAAAAAAAAGUUUGCGACCUCGAUGUUGAAUUAAAAUAUCUAUACAAUUGCAGAAGUUGUGUAAGUGGGUCUGUUCGACCUUUAAAAUUUU